UACAGAGGUCCCAAGCGUUGUUCGGAUUCACUGGGCGUAAAGGGUGCGCAGGUGGUCGGGUAAGUCUGAUGUGAAAUCCCGCAGCUCAACUGCGGAAUGGCAUUGGAUACUAUUUGGCUAGAGGGUUGGAGGGAGGACUGGAAUUCUCGGUGUAGCAGUGAAAUGCGUAGAUAUCGAGAGGAACACCAGUGGCGAAGGCGGCCCCCUGGUUGGAUACUGACGCUGAGACGCGAAAGCGUGGGGAGCAAACAGG
rnacentral:rRNA from 1 species